GCGGGGGUUCCCGAGCCAGGUCAAAGGGGCAAGCCUGAGGCGCUUGUGCGCUAAGCGCUGCGUGGGUUCAAAUCCCACCCCCCGCA
rnacentral:tRNA from 1 species